AAUAUGUACAGCGCCGUUGACUUUUUAUCUAACAUUUGAUCAUUCGUCUUAUUUAAAAAAUUUAUGUAACUAUCAUUUAUUUUAUUGUGACUUGAUUCAUCAUCAAAUAUUCUUUAAGCAUGACAUAAAUAUUCUCAUAUUUGCACAAAAAUUUUGAAUAAAACGAAUGGUCAAACGUUUAUCAAAAAAAAUCAACGGCGUCAUACAUU
rnacentral:pre_miRNA from 1 species